rnacentral:rRNA from 1 species
GUGCCAGCCGCCGCGGUAAUACAGAGGGAGCGAGCGUUGUUCGGAAUUACUGGGCGUAAAGGGCGCGUAGGCGGUUCGAUAAGUCCCGUGUGAAAUCCCUCGGCUCAACUGAGGAAUGGCACGGGAAACUGACGGGCUUGAGUUCGGGAGAGGGAAGCGGAAUUCCGGGUGUAGCGGUGAAAUGCGUAGAUAUCCGGAGGAACACCGGUGGCGAAGGCGGCUUCCUGGACCGACACUGACGCUGAGGCGCGAAAGCUAGGGGAGCAAACGGGAUUAGAUACCCCUGUAGUCC